rnacentral:rRNA from 1 species
CCCAGACUCCUACGGGAGGCAGCAGUGGGGAAUAUUGCACAAUGGGGGGAACCCUGAUGCAGCGACGCCGCGUGGGUGAAGGAGCGUUUCGGCGCGUAAAGCCCUAUCGGCAGGGAAGAAGGAGGACGGUACCUGACUAAGAAGCCCCGGCUAACUACGUGCCAGCAGCCGCGGUAAUACGUAGGGGGCAAGCGUUAUCCGGAUUUACUGGGUGUAAAGGGGGCGCAGACGGCAGCGCAAGCCAGGAGUGAAAGCCCGGGGCCCAACCCCGGGACUGCUCUUGGAACUGCGCGGCUGGAGUGCAGGAGGGGCAGGCGGAAUUCCUGGUGUAGCGGUGAAAUGCGUAGAUAUCAGGAGGAACACCGGUGGCGAAGGCGGCCUGCUGGACUGCAACUGACGUUGAGGCCCGAAAGCGUGGGGAGCAAACAGGAUUAGAUCCCCCAGAA